rnacentral:misc_RNA from 1 species
CCGGCCGCAAGGGCAGAGAGUAGUUGACGAAUUCACGGGACAGCAAGCAUUGUCGUUAAUUUCAUUCUGUAUCGUAUCGAUUUUGAUAUUAAGUUCCAUUGAACAACAAAAACCCUAUACAGGAAUAAUUAGAAAGAAUGACGGAAUUCUUGGACCUGGAAGCUCAGGACGGCGUGAGAAUGCCGUGGAAUGUGCUCCCAGGCACCAAGCAAGAGGCCAGCAACUGUGUGGUCCCCGUCUCCGCCAUUUACACUCCGAUCAAACCCUUUCCUAACACGCCCGUCCUCCCUUACUCUCCCCUCCGUUGCCGUACUUGCCGCUCCGUGCUUAACCCUUUCUCCAUCGUUGAUUUUGCCGCCAAGAUCUGGAUCUGCCCCUUCUGCUUCCAACGCAACCACUUCCCACCUCACUACGCCUCCG